rnacentral:rRNA from 1 species
AGAGCGAACGCUGGCGGCAGGCUUAACACAUGCAAGUCGAGCGGGCAUAGCAAUAUGUCAGCGGCAGACGGGUGAGUAACGCGUGGGAACGUACCUUUUGGUUCGGAACAACACAGGGAAACUUGUGCUAAUACCGGAUAAGCCCUUACGGGGAAAGAUUUAUCGCCGAAAGAUCGGCCCGCGUCUGAUUAGCUAGUUGGUGAGGUAAUGGCUCACCAAGGCGACGAUCAGUAGCUGGUCUGAGAGGAUGAUCAGCCACAUUGGGACUGAGACACGGCCCAAACUCCUACGGGAGGCAGCAGUGGGGAAUAUUGGACAAUGGGCGCAAGCCUGAUCCAGCCAUGCCGCGUGAGUGAUGAAGGCCCUAGGGUUGUAAAGCUCUUUGUGCGGGAAGAUAAUGACGGUACCGCAAGAAUAAGCCCGGCUAACUUCGCGCCAGCAGCCGC